rnacentral:rRNA from 1 species
UACGUAGGGUGCAGGCGUUAAUCGGAAUUACUGGGCGUAAAGGGCUCGUAGGUGGCCAACUAAGUCAGACGUGAAAUCCCUCGGCUUAACCGGGGAACUGCGUCUGAUACUGGAUGGCUUGAGUUUGGGAGAGGGAUGCGGAAUUCCAGGUGUAGCGGUGAAAUGCGUAGAUAUCUGGAGGAAUACCGGUGGCGAAGGCGGCAUCCUGGACCGGAUUAGACGCUGAGGAGCGAAAGCCGGAGGGAGCAAACGGGGAUUA